rnacentral:rRNA from 1 species
UCGGGCGCUUGGGGAGGGGCUUGCGUCCGAUUAGCUUGUUGGUGAGGUAACGGCCCACCAAGGCAAUGAUCGGUAGCUGGUCUGAGAGGAUGAUCAGCCACACUGGGACUGAGACACGGCCCAGACUCCUACGGGAGGCAGCAGCAAGGAAUAUUGUGCAAUGGGCGAAAGCCUGACACAGCGACGCCGCGUGGGGGAUGAAGGCCUUCGGGUUGUAAACCCCUUUUCUCAGGGAAGAACAAUGACGGUACCUGAGGAAUAAGUCUCGGCUAACUACGUGCCAGCAGCCGCGGUAAUACGUAGGAGGCAAGCGUUAUCCGGAUUUAUUGGGCGUAAAGCGCGUGUAGGCGGCUUUUCAAGUCGGAUGUAAAAUCUCCCGGCUCAACUGGGAGGGAACAUUCGAUACUGCUGGGCUAGAGUGCAGCAGAGGGAGGUGGAAUUCCCGGUGGAGUGGUGAAAUGCGUAGAUAUCGGGAGGAACACCAGUGGCGAAGGCGGCCUCCUGGGCUGCAACUGACGCUGAGACGCGAAAGCGUGGGGAGCGAACAGGAUUAGAUACCCUGGUAGUCCACGCGGUAAACGAUGGACACUAGGUAUGGGGAGUAUCAACCCUCUCCGUGCCGUAGCUAACGCAUUAAGUGUCCCGCCUGGGGAGUAC